rnacentral:rRNA from 1 species
CCUACGGGAGGCAGCAGUGGGGAAUAUUGGACAAUGGGCGAAAGCCUGAUCCAGCCAUGCCGCGUGUGUGAAGAAGGCCUUCGGGUUGUAAAGCACUUUCAGUGGGGAAGAAAGCCUUGGGGCUAAUACCCUCGAGGAAGGACAUCACCCACAGAAGAAGCACCGGCUAACUCCGUGCCAGCAGCCGCGGUAAUACGGAGGGUGCGAGCGUUAAUCGGAAUUACUGGGCGUAAAGCGCGCGUAGGCGGUCUGAUAAGCCGGUUGUGAAAGCCCCGGGCUCAACCUGGGAACGGCAUCCGGAACUGUCGGGCUAGAGUGCAGGAGAGGAAGGUAGAAUUCCCGGUGUAGCGGUGAAAUGCGUAGAGAUCGGGAGGAAUACCAGUGGCGAAGGCGGCCUUCUGGACUGACACUGACGCUGAGGUGCGAAAGCGUGGGUAGCAAACAGGAUUAGAUACCCGAGUAGUC